rnacentral:rRNA from 1 species
CCUACGGGCGGCAGCAGUGAGGAAUAUUGGUCAAUGGACGAGAGUCUGAACCAGCCAAGUAGCGUGAAGGAUGACUGCCCUAUGGGUUGUAAACUUCUUUUAUAUGGGAAUAACAUGUUCCACGUGUGGGAUUUUGUAUGUACCAUAUGAAUAAGGCUCGGCUAACUCCGUGCCAGCAGCCGCGGUAAUACGGAGGAUCCGAGCGUUAUCCGGAUUUAUUGGGUUUAAAGGGAGCGUAGGUGGAUUGUUAAGUCAGUUGUGAAAGUUUGCGGCUCAACCGUAAAAUUGCAGUUGAAACUGGCAGUCUUGAGUACAGUAGAGGUGGGCGGAAUUCGUGGUGUAGCGGUGAAAUGCUUAGAUAUCACGAAGAACUCCGAUUGCGAAGGCAGUUCACUGGACUGCAACUGACACUGAGGCUCGAAAGUGUGGGUAUCAAACAGGAUUAGAUACCCGUGUAGUC